CGCCGCCGUCUCCGAGCAGACCAGCGGCGCCUCCUUCCCGGCGAGAUUCCGGCUGCUUCGAAAGGAACGCAGUUCGAGAGCUCUGAAGAUGAAGAGUUGCAAGAGCAAGAGUUGAAGGCUCUUAGCAGUUAUUAUCUGGAUUUAAGGCAAGUAUAUUCCUUGAUCAUAUUUCUGUCCUAAUAACAUUUAUUUUAAGCUUGCAUGCAUUAAUAUUGAUGGGUACCUAUUGUCCUAUUUGAUUAUCUUUGUCGUUGAAUAGCCGGGUUCUUUUAUUAAAAUCUUUUGGGUAGUUUGCUUAGUUGCUGAACAAUGAUUAUGGGUGGUUUACAAUAAUGCUACUUGAGACAUGAUUCUAUAUUCUAUACUCUUUUGGAACAAUAUGAUGAAUUUGUGAACUUGAUUCGAAUCAACCAUGGAGCGACCACCCGGGAAAACAGCGCAACCAUAAGGACUACAUGGCUCUGUUCUUGGUUGAUUAAUUAGAUUUCUCUAGCAUGCUAGUAGCUUACCGAAAGGCGCAAGAGGGGGGACUAGGUUUAAGAGGGGUACUCGGCCUGCCAAAGGGGUUGCUACGCCUACGGGGUACACUCGCUUUGGGGGAGGGUGCACUCGCCUAGCGGCUGAAACUUUAGCGGGCUACUACUUGUUAGGGAGUCUUUGUAAAAGCCUCGUAGCAUCCCUACGCAGCCAUACCUAAGGAAGUGUGGUAUUGUGCCUAAUCAGCACAUGCGUGGUUGGGUUUAAAUCUCUUUGGAACUUUUACGCGACUUCUGGGUAAAGUGUGCAACCUCUGCAGAGUGAAAAUUUAUAUAUCAGUCGUGCUCACGGUCAAAAGCGGCUCGGACCCUCACAUGUCUACUUAAUGGAAAUCAUUGAUUAAUUCAGUUAUUAAUUGUUCCAAGCUAUUUAUUUUCAGACAUAUAUUUCUUUUUCAUAAAUGCGGGUUGGAUCAAAUCAUAGCUUAGUAAAUAUGUUGUUAAUAUUCAACUAUUAAUUAAAAUGCUUACGCUUUAUCUAGCCAGCCUAUAUCCUUGCUUAAGCCUUGCAUGUCAUUUAUUUUUCUAAUAUACUUGCUGAGUACGAUAUGUGCUCACCCUUACUAUAACCACACUGCUCAGAGGAGAAAGUUGCAAUAAAACUGAAGAUGUUGCUGAGUUCUAGGUGCACGCAACCCCCGGUCGAUUGCCUGUGAAGUGUGGUGCCGUCGUUUCCAGGAUAAAGCUGUGUAUCUCUGAUAGACUUUUAUUCGUUGUAAGUCUCUUUUACGUGAUAUUGUUGUUCAUUAUUCUAUUAUGACGUCGCUAUAUGUAUGAAACUUGAUCUUGACAUACAUAUAGUUAUGCAUUCGGUUUUCUUUUAAAAACCGGGUGUGACA